GUGCCCUCCCGCUUCCUCCCCCUCCGCCCAGCCCCAGCGUGCGCAUGCGGGGCUGCGGGCGGGGGAGAGGCCGGCGGGGCGCCCCGAGGUGCGGCCAACGGAUGGCCCCGGCUCUGAUCUCGGUCCUGGCCCCUAUCCCCAUCCCAAUCCCGGUCCCGGUCCCGAUCCCGGCCCUCACCCGCCCGUGAGGGGCCGCGUCGGGGAGAGGAGGGUGCACGACCUCCCCGCCGCCGUUGGGAGCGAGUGUGGGGGCCGCUGAGGUUCCCCGGAGGUUUUCGUUUUCGACGCUGGAAGGUUGUGAAAUAAGGCGUUUGGCAAAGCGCUGGAGGAGAGGUGGCAGCAGCUCUGAGGAGGACAGAAGAGGGGCGGCAGGCAGGCUUUGCCCUUGCCCCGGGAUGUUGUCCGUGGGUGUUAUGGACCCUUCACCACAAGAACAGCAUCUCCCUUCCGUCAUGCAUUUUGUACACUCACACGUUUGUGUAUGCACCCA